CCGAUGUGAGCAUCUGCUAGGGCAGAGAAUACAGUGACUAGGUAGUUACCUACCGGUACGUAUUAGAUACAUCGCUCAUAUAGGUAUCUACCUACAUAACAUAGGUACCUCCUCUCUCGGGAUCGACAAUCUUCUUCACAUCUAGCCGCCACCAGUCAAAAACAGGCCUCCCGCAUAGAUACUAUACAUGUCCUUUCUUGUUCGGGGCCGGCUCGGUCCGCCUAAUCUGCAUGCAGUAGAAAACAUGCGCAGAUUUGAAAACAUGGAUUGCCUGUGAGUGGCCAUGAACUCAUAUAACAUUCUUCGUACAAUAGAUCUGCAACUGCAGGGUAUGACCAGUACGGACAAGCAUGUGCCUAAAUUGUCGAAUCGGGUGGAAAGCAUGCCAUGCCGGAGGCCUAGUUUAUAGACGUGUUCGUGUUGUUGAUAUCAGGUCUCGUAACUCCGUAACCAACAGGGAGCAUUGCGGAGAUGUGACUUAUGCAAGAGUCAAAAUCGAGUAUGUCCUUUCCAUAGCCUAGUUUGAAUUCGAGCCUGCCUGAGCUGUGUUCCAAACAAAUGAGCAGUUAUUUCGGUACUGGAGCAUAAACUAGUCCAAACACGAGCUCGCAAAGAUCUUGGGCUGCAUGCCAGAACGUGGUGGCUCUAUUUUCCAGUCCAGUAGAACGUCCUCUAACUCGCUGGCGGCCAAUGUGGCUUAUAUUUGCUUUUCCGGGGAACUCUGCCUGUGAAGAAACUCGGUACGUAGCCUGCGUAGUGCAGAUUCUUGGUUAACCAUGUCAAAUGAUAUGCGGCACUAGCAUCUAGAUAUACCCAGUGGUGUCAAUUUAUCAAGCAUGCAUUCAAUUUCCGCCUGCAGCCAUCCAUUUUCGAUCUGACGUCCGGUGCACGGCCCAGUUUACCUGGCAACCUUAUCAUGACGUUCUUUGUUCCGUGUCAUCAUGUCUCUCCACCAGUUCCUCCUUUGCAGCAUUGUCUGAAUAUGUCAAGAGCUUGUAACAC
rnacentral:lncRNA from 1 species